UGCGGCUUAAUUUGACCCAACGCGGGAAAACUCACCAGGUCAGGACACGGUAAGGAUUGACGGACUGAAGGCUCUUUCUCGAUUCCGUGGAAAGUGGUGCAUGGCCGUUUUGGUUGGUGGAUCGAUCCGUCUGGUUAAUUCCGUUAACGAACGAGACCUCGGCACUCCGAAUAGCGCGGCGGACGUCGCGGCCUCCGGGCCGUCUUCCGCACGAGCUUCUUAGAGGGACCGUCCCCCGCCGGGGAAGGAGGUGCGAGGCAACGACAGGUCUGUGAUGCCCUUAGAUGUUCUGGGCCGCACGCGCAUUACACUGACGCGUCCAACGGGUGACUCCCGACCCGAAGGGGCCGGGGAAUCCGCAAGGCGCGUCGUGAUGGGGAUUGAACGUUGCAAUUGUUGUUCACGAACGAGGAAUUCCUAGUAGGCGCGGGUCAUCAACCCGCGCCGA
rnacentral:rRNA from 1 species